GAAAGAGGAAGAAAGAGAAAGAGAAUAAGAGAGAGAGGAAAAGAUAGAGGAAGAGAGAGGGAGGGAGAAAAAGAGAGAAGAAGACAGAGAGGGGAAGAAAGAGGAAUAGACAAAAAGACAGAGAGGAAGAGAGGAAAAGAAAGCGAGAACAAGAGAGGGAGAGAGAGGAGAAAAGAGAAGAGAGAGGAAAAGACAGAGGACGACACAGAGGGGGAGAAAAAGAGAGAGAAGACAGAGAGAGGGAAAGAAAGAGAGGAAUAGAAAAAAAGGCAAGAGAGAGAAGAAGAGAGAAAAAGGUAAAGAAGAAAAGAGAGGGGGGAAGAGAGAGAAGGAGAGAGAAGAAAAUGGAGAGGAAGAGAGAGACUGGAAGAGACAGAGAAAAAUAUAGAGUAGAAGAGAGAGAAGGAAAGCUAGGAAGAGAAUGGAAAAGCCAGAAAGAAAGAGAGAGAGAGAAGACAGAGAGAGAGGUAGAGGAAAAGAGAGAUGGAUAGAGAGAAAAAGAAAAGACAGGAAGAGAGAGGAAAAGAGAGAGGAAUAGAGAGAAAAAGAAAAGAAGACAGGAAGAGAGAGAGAAAAAGAAGACAGAGGAAGAGACAGAAAAGGAAGAGAGAGGGGGGAAGAGAGAAAAAUACAGAGAGGAAGAGAGAGAAAGAAGGAGACAGAGAAAGGAGAGGAAUACAGAGAGAAAAAGAAAAGAGAGAGGGAAAGACAGAGGAAGAGAGAGAAAAAAGAGGAAGAGAUAGAAAAAGAAAAGAGGGAGAGAGAGGAGAGAGAAGAGAGAGGGAGGGAGAAAAAGAAAUAGAGGAAGAGAGAGUGAGAGAGGGAAAGAGAAAAAAAUAUAGGGAAUGGGAGAGAGAGUGGAAGAGAAAAAUAGAG